rnacentral:rRNA from 1 species
AACGAACGCUGGCGGCAGGCUUAACACAUGCAAGUCGAACGCAUCCUUCGGGGUGAGUGGCAGACGGGUGAGUAACGCGUGGGAACGUGCCCUUCAGUUCGGGAUAACCCAGGGAAACUUGGGCUAAUACCGGAUACGUGCGAGAGCAGAAAGAUUUAUCGCUGAAGGAUCGGCCCGCGUCUGAUUAGCUAGUUGGUGGGGUAAUGGCGCACCAAGGCGACGAUCAGUAGCUGGUCUGAGAGGAUGAUCAGCCACAUUGGGACUGAGACACGGCCCAAACUCCUACGGGAGGCAGCAGUGGGGAAUAUUGGACAAUGGGCGCAAGCCUGAUCCAGCCAUGCCGCGUGAGUGAUGAAGGCCUUAGGGUUGUAAAGCUCUUUCGUCCGGGACGAUAAUGACGGUACCGGAAGAAGAAGCCCCGGCUAACUUCGUGCCAGCCGCCGCAGUCA